rnacentral:lncRNA from 1 species
GCCUAUAGCGAAAAUUCCUUUCAUUGCUUAUAUUUCUAAUCUAUAUUCUACAACUUGUAGUUAUCACCAGCUUCAAUGAUAAUGUCUUGACAAAUAAAAUUUGCCUUUUCUAAAAUAAAAUAAUAAAUUCAUACUUUAUUUUGCCUCUGAACGAAGAUGAUAAGCCAUAAACUGACAUUUUUGUUCUAUUUUCUACCUUCAACUUUUUAAUGGGUUGUUUUUUGCUUUUUGUUUUUUGUUAUUGAUUUUGUUUGUUUUUGUUUUUGUUUUUGUUUUUGUUUUUUUUUGUUUGUUUUUUUUUUUUUCUUUCAUUUUUUUUUUUUUUUUUUUUUUUCUCACAGGAUCAAGCUUUAGUUACCGAUACACUUAACGAUACACUUAACGAUGAAAUCCUUGUAUACCAUGAGACUCAACAACUAUACAAAUUAUGUCAGG